rnacentral:rRNA from 1 species
GACGAACGCUGGCGGCGUGCUUAACACAUGCAAGUCGAACGGAAAGGCCUGCUUUCCCUUGUGGAUUGCGGGUACUCGAGUGGCGAACGGGUGAGUAACACGUGAGUGAUCUGCCCCCAACUUGGGUAUAAGCCUGGGAAACUGGGUCUAAUUCCCGAUAGGACUGCAGGGUGGUGCCUGUGGUGGAAAACGAUUUUCUAGUGGUUGGGGAUGAGCUCGCGGCCUAUCAGCUUGUUGGUGGGGUAAUGGCCUACCAAGGCGGCGACGGGUAGCCGGCCUGGGAGGGUGGACGGCCACAUUGGGACUGAGAUACGGCCCAGACUCCUACGGGAGGCAGCAGUGGGGAAUAUUGCACAAUGGGCGGAAGCCUGAUGCAGCGACGCCGCGUGGGGGAUGACGGCCUUCGGGUUGUAAACUCCUUUCGACCGCGAGGAAGCCACCUGGAUGGAAGGGUGGUGACGGUAGUGGUAGAAGAAGCACCGGCUAACUACGUG